CCAGACUCCUACGGGAGGCAGCAGUGGGGAAUAUUGCACAAUGGGCGCAAGCCUGAUGCAGCGACGCCGCGUGGGGGAUGACGGCCUUCGGGUUGUAAACUCCUUUCGCUAGGGACGAAGCUUUUUGUGACGGUACCUAGAUAAGAAGCACCGGCUAACUACGUGCCAGCAGCCGCGGUAAUACGUAGGGUGCGAGCGUUGUCCGGAAUUACUGGGCGUAAAGGGCUCGUAGGUGGUUUGUCGCGUCGUCUGUGAAAUUCCGGGGCUUAACUCCGGGCGUGCAGGCGAUACGGGCAUAACUUGAGUACUGUAGGGGUAACUGGAAUUCCUGGUGUAGCGGUGAAAUGCGCAGAUAUCAGGAGGAACACCGAUGGCGAAGGCAGGUUACUGGGCAGUUACUGACGCUGAGGAGCGAAAGCAUGGGUAGCGAACAGGAUUAGAUACCCUGGUAGUCCAUGCCGUAAACGGUGGGCGCUAGGUGUGAGGGUCUUUUCACGACUUUCGUGCCGUAGCUAACGCAUUAAGCGCCCCGCCUGGGGAGUACGGCCGCAAGGCUAAAACUCAAAGGAAUUGACGGGGGCCCGCACAAGCGGCGGAGCAUGUGGAUUAAUUCGAUGCAACGCGAAGAACCUUACCUGGGCUUGACAUACACCAGAUCGCUGCAGAGAUGUAGUUUCCCUUUGUGGCUGGUGUACAGGUGGUGCAUGGUUGUCGUCAGCUCGUGUCGUGAGAUGUUGGGUUAAGUCCCGCAACGAGCGCAACCCUUGUCUUAUGUUGCCAGCAUUUGGUUGGGGACUCAUGAGAGACUGCCGGGGUCAACUCGGAGGAAGGUGGGGAUGACGUCAAAUCAUCAUGCCCCUUAUGUCCAGGGCUUCACACAUGCUACAAUGGUCGGUACAACGCGCAGCGACACUGUGAGGUGGAGCGAAUCGCUGAAAGCCGGCCUUAGUUCGGAUUGGGGUCUGCAACUCGACCCCAUGAAGUCGGAGUCGCUAGUAAUCGCAGAUCAGCAAUGCUGCGGUGAAUACGUUCCCGGGCCUUGUACACACCGCCCGUCACGUCAUGAAAGUUGGUAACACCCGAAGCCGGUGGCCCAAACUUGUUAGGGAGCCGUCGAAGGUGGGAUCGGCGAUUGGGACGAAGUCGUAACAAGGUACCCGUACCGGAAGGUGCGGGUG
rnacentral:rRNA from 1 species